AAAAAUUCAUCCCAGGGCAGGAGGACACUGUUAUACAAGAGUGGACCUCCUACAAGCAGCAUGUUCACGUUGGAACAUUUAAGGACAAAACACAAGCUGAGGUAAUGCAGCUCCUGGCGAGUGAGAAGGAUGAAUGGGCAGAGAUUUACCCAAACCUCUGCCUUUUAGCUUCAGCUGGGCUGGUCAUCCCAGUCUCCAGUGUCAACUGCGAGAGGGAUUUUUCCACAAUGAACAGGGUGAAAACUGACCUGAGAAACAGGCUGAAAGGGGAGCACCUGGCUGCAUGUCUGCGGAUAGCAGUAAAUGGACCAGCACCAGAGGCGUUCCCAUACUCAGAGGCGUUGGAGCUGUUCUUCACCAAACCCAGAAGGAUUAAGUGCUCUGACAAACAGUGCCAUCUUUGUCAAUAAUGAAAAUGUUGGUCAACUCAAAUAUUGUCAUAUGUCAAUAUUAAGAUAAUUGUUCUAACAUCCCGUGAUAUAUUAUUUUACUCGUAUUGCUCAGCCUUAGUGUUAAGUCUUAUUAUUAUUUCACAUUGGUUUAACAUAGUGCAUAUUCCAGAACAUAUUUGUGUAAAUAAACACCACCUAAUAUAAUAACUAUAAACUAAUAUAGACUAUACAUAAAGAACAAAAAAGUGGGCGGGUUAAUGUGGCCCCGGGUCCAGUUCAGGUUCAAUAUA